rnacentral:rRNA from 1 species
UGGGGAAUUUUGCACAAUGGGGGAAACCCUGAUGCAGCGACACCGCGUGAUUUAGAAGGCCUUCGGGUUGUAAAAAUCUUUUUUACGGGAUGAAAAUGACAGUACCGUAAGAAUAAGGUCCGGCUAAAUACGUGCCAGCAGCCGCGGUAAUACGUAUGGACCGAGCGUUGUCCGGAAUCAUUGGGCGUAAAGGGUACGUAGGCGGCCUAGUAAGUUAGAAGUGAAAUAAUAUAGCUCAACUAUAUAAAGCUUUUAAAACUGCUAGGCUUGAGAGAUGGAAGGGAAAGUGGAAUUCCUAGUGUAGCGGUGAAAUGCGCAGAUAUUAGGAAGAAUACCGGUGGCGAAGGCGACUUUCUGGUCAUCAUCUGACGCUGAGGUACGAAAGCGUGGGUAGCAAACAGG